AAACAGUGCGAUCGCCCUGGGCCCAAUAUUCAGAGGGGCCCAAAAUUUUUUUUUUAGUAAGUAUUAUAUUAGAUUAUUAUAACUAUUAACUAAUUUAAUAUUUUGAAAAGAAAAAAAAAGACCAACGAUGGUCUGUUUCACUCUUCAAGAAGAAGAAUAUUUGGAUCUAUUCCAUUCCACUGCUCAAGAAAAAGAACAUUUGCAUCUGUUCCAUUCCACUGCUCAAGAAGAACAUCUGUUCCACUCCUCAAGAAGAAGAACGUUGCAUCUGUUCUACUCCUCCAGUUCGUCGCUUUUGCUGGUGCUUCUUAUUCUUCCUCUUCCUCUACAGAAUUUUGAAUCCCCUUCAUUUCAUCUCAUCUAAGCCUCUCUCUCUCCUACAAGUUACAAAGUUGUGAAUCCCUAAAUUAAUUUUUCUGUUGGUAGAUUGGGGAGAUUCCAAAAUCCAAAGUGUGGGCUUUUAUCAAUUGAAGGGAUUCUUUUAAGCUCUAAUUGAUUGCAAAUUUGUUUAUGUGGAGAGCGAUUUCUCAAAGGGGGUUUCUCAACUGAAAAGGAGAUGUUAGAAAAGCUUGAAGUUGAAAGCAUCAUUGAGGAUUUUGCUUCUCAAAAUGCAAGAAGAAAAUCAUUUACAUAAUACCUUUUCAGUUGUGAUUUUGUUGUUUUUCACCUUAUCUUGCAGGUGGUGAUGUUGAUAUUUUGCUGGUUGCUGAGGAUGCAAAGAGAU